AGUCGACGAUGAAUCUUCUAGCUUGCUAGAAGUGGAUUAGUGGCGCACGGGUGAGUAAUGCAUAGGUUAUGUGCCCUUUAGUCUGGGAUAGCCACUGGAAACGGUGAUUAAUACUGGAUACUCCCUACGGGGGAAAGUUUUUCGCUAAAGGAUCAGCCUAUGUCCUAUCAGCUUGUUGGUGAGGUAAUGGCUCACCAAGGCUAUGACGGGUAUCCGGCCUGAGAGGGUGAUCGGACACACUGGAACUGAGACACGGUCCAGACUCCUACGGGAGGCAGCAGUAGGGAAUAUUGCUCAAUGGGGGAAACCCUGAAGCAGCAACGCCGCGUGGAGGAUGAAGGUUUUAGGAUUGUAAACUCCUUUUGUUAGAGAAGAUUAUGACGGUAUCUAACGAAUAAGCACCGGCUAACUCCGUGCCAGCAGCCGCGGUAAUACGGAGGGUGCAAGCGUUACUCGGAAUCACUGGGCGUAAAGAGUGCGUAGGCGGGGUAAUAAGUCAGAUGUGAAAUCCUGUAGCUUAACUACAGAACUGCAUUUGAAACUGUUACUCUGGAGUGUGGGAGAGGUAGGUGGAAUUCUUGGUGUAGGGGUAAAAUCCGUAGAGAUCAAGAGGAAUACUCAUUGCGAAGGCGACCUGCUGGAACAUUACUGACGCUGAUGCACGAAAGCGUGGGGAGCAAACAGGAUUAGAUACCCUGGUAGUCCACGCCCUAAACGAUGGAUGCUAGUUGUUGCCUUGCUUGUCAGGGCAGUAAUGCAGCUAACGCAUUAAGCAUCCCGCCUGGGGAGUACGGUCGCAAGAUUAAAACUCAAAGGAAUAGACGGGGACCCGCACAAGCGGUGGAGCAUGUGGUUUAAUUCGAAGAUACGCGAAGAACUUUACCUAGGC
rnacentral:rRNA from 1 species